rnacentral:hammerhead_ribozyme from 1 species
AUCCAGCUGACGAGUCCCAAACAGGACGAAACGCACGUUCUGGAU